UAUAUUAUAGUUUAGUUAGUAAAACGUAAAAUAAAUAAUCUUAAAAAUUUAGGUUCAAAUCCUAAUAAUGUUA